rnacentral:tRNA from 1 species
GCCGGAAUAGCUCAGUUGGGAGAGCGUUAGACUGAAGUUGUUUACGCAACAGUCAUCUAAAGCCCCCCCGGUUCAAUCCCGGGUUCCGGCA